rfam:Hebeloma cylindrosporum h7 unplaced genomic scaffold scaffold_62, whole genome shotgun sequence.
CUCCACCCUCAAUAAGAGCCGAAUAUAAUAUUUAUUUAUAAAGUUUUCUCCCCUCCUUUCUUCGAAUAAUUGCAUUAAAACAAGGAUAUCUAAGAAAGUAGGGGAAAAGAAUUUAAAUUAUUUAGUAACAAAGUUAAAUAUAGCGCUCCUUCUCUUCCUAUGGAAGCAAUGGGGAGCGACACGCAGACGCGAAAAAGAGGAAAUUUCUUUUUUAAUUUAAUUGACUUUACUUUUUUUUUAUUUUUAAAUUAGUUAAAAAAUGAAAUUGAUUAUUUAUUAAAUUCUCCCUUGGAGUAAGUACGAUGAGAGUUAACUUGUCGGAACAAAGGGGAACCAUCCUCUAAAGCUAAGUAUUAUAAAUUUAGCAAUAGCGAAAAGUACUGUAAAGGAAAAAUUUGAAAAGCAAGUAGUAUACUUUAUAAUUCAAUUACUAAAACAAAAUUUAUUUAUUUUUAUUCUUAUUUAUCUCAAUCUCAAUCUCAAUCUCUUUAAAAUUUUUAUUUAUCUCCCUUUUCUUUAAAAUAAAUUGUAGGAUUCUCCGUCCCUAAUGUUUAGCUAAUGGAUCCUUAAGGAUCCCUAUUCUAAGCCUAAGAGAUAAGGAGAAAAGUAUGUAAGGUAUUUAAGAAAAUAGAUGAUUUAAAUUUAUAUUUAAGAUUAAUAAAUAAAAUUUAGUAAAUGAAUUGGUGAAAUAGAACGUGAAUUAGUAACUCUAUAAGCAGUCGAAAUUCUACAAUAAAUAGAAUGACGGCGUACCUUUUGCAUAAUGGGUCAGCAAGUUAAUAGGAGUAGCAAGGUUAAAACCUUAGCGAAAGCGACUGAACAAUAUAAAUAAAAAUAUAAACUUUAUUAUAAAAAGUUUAUUAAUUUGUUACAAAUUAAACUUUCUAUUCUUAUCCUUAAGAGGGGAAAGUUUAUAUUUUAUUUAGUGAUGGGUUAGUUACUUCUAUUAGACCCGAAGCCAGGUGAUCUUACCAAGACCAGAUUAUAAUGGAUCGAACGGGUGAAUGUUGCAUAAUUCUCCGAAGAGUUUUGGUAAGCGGUGAAAUGCCAAUCUGACCUGGUGCUAGCUGGUUUUCUACCGAAACAUAUUUAAGUAUGAUGUCUAUCUAUGAGAUUUAUGAAGGUACAGCAAGGCAAUUCCCAACAAGUUUAAUUUAAAUUUACUCCUUCCCUCCUUUGCUUUUGUCUUUACAAAAGUAAAGGCAAAAGUAGGGUUAAACGAAGGAAACAUAAAUUUAUUUAAUACGUUUAGGUUGCGGGGACCUCGAAAAUCUUACCUUUGGAAGCGAAUCUCGGAAUUACAUAAAUUGAUGAUAGAUAUUCAGACUGCUCAUGAUAAGUUGGGCAGUCAAGACGGAAACAGCCGAGAACACUGAUCAAGGUCCCAAAUGAUUGUUAAGUGAAAUUAAGGAUGUAGCAAUAUCAUAUACAGCUGUGAAGUGAGCCUGGCAGUCGCUACUUAUAAUGAACGUACGUAACAACGCAUCAGCAGUAACUUUAAUUAUAAAAAUUAAUUAAUAAAUGAUAGUAGCACCGAAAAUUUAACGGGUCUUAAACAAUCAACCGAUAUCGUGUUGUUUAUAUUUAAUUUAACUAUCCCCUCCUAGGUAACUUAUUUUUUUUUUAAAUAAAGGAGUAGGGAAAACAAAAGUUAUUUAAAUGUAAUCUAGGUAGUAGAACAUUCAGUUAAAUUUAUAAGUAAAUAGUGUUUCAUUAUUUAUUAGAUUACUGAAGAGAGAAUGCUGACAUGAGUAACGUAAAAAAUUCCUAUAAUGGAAUUCGCCGAAUACGAAAGGGUUACAAAUUAGAAAGGUUAAACCGUUUUGUUUUAAUGCGGCCUCUAAGGAGUAUAGCCAAAGCUAUAACUGAUGAGUAAUAAAUAGAAAGUCCAAUAUUUAAAAAAUGGACCAGGAAAAUAAUAUUUUCAUUUUUCUUUUGCUCUCUUUACUCCCGUAGGGAGUAAGAGAUUGCUAAUUUUUAUUAUUUUACCUUUGCUUUAAUAGCAGAGAAAAAGAACAAAAUUAAAGAAAAUUUAUUCUACCGUACCCUAAACCGACACAGGUUCGUUAGUAGAGUAUACUAAGGCGUAGAGCUAAAAGUUGUUAAGGAACUCGGCAAGUUCACCUCAUAAGUUUGACGACAAGAGGUACCAAAGAAAAGUAUUUAAAUAUAGUCCUUCCAGAUUUGCUUUUGCUUUAAACAAAGGAAAAGUAGUUAUGGACAUAAAUUUUAUUAAAUAAAUAUUCAUUAUUAAUAAAUACUAUUAUUUACUUAUUUAUUUGUUUGGUGGCACAGAAUCGGAGGCCCCGACUGUUUACUAAAAACACAACACAGUGCAAUCAUUAGUAUGGUAGUAUACUGUGUGAAAUUUGCCCGAUGCCAUUAAUAUAAAAGAAGUUAUGGAUUAUUUUUCACAAUAAUCUUGUGACUGAUUGAAAGUCUGGUUAAUAGCGGUCUUAACUAUGAGGAUCCUAAGGUAGCAAAAUCAGUUGGCCAUUAAAUGUGGUCCGGUAUCAAUAAUGUAACGAUGGUCUCACUGUCUCUACAACUUGCUCAGUGAAAUUGAAUUACGCGUGCAGAUGCGCGUUGCCUCCAGGGGGACGGGAAGACCCUAUGCAGCUUUACUGUAGUUAGUUAUCAUAUGAAUCUAGAACAAUCUUGUAUAAUAGUGAAUAGGUAUGCCGAUAGGCUUAGUUUGUCUCAUAUUUGUGAGAAUAAAUGUUGUGGAAACCUUAAAUACAAGGUUGGGUUCGUGUUCACCUUAAAUAUUAUAAAUAAAGGGAGAGUUGACUAAUUGGCAGUUUGACUGGGGCGGUCGUCUUUAAUAGAGUAGCAAAGUACAACCAAUUGUAUUAUUUAUAAAAUAAAAUAUUAUUAUAUUUCCUUAGAAAUCUUAUAAUAUUUAAUACAGAAUAGAAAACUUAAAUUUUAUUAUUCUUUUUGUCGCGUAGCGGUAAAUUUAAAAAAAAACAAGGUCUAAGAUUCGUAGUCUUUUUAUUUACAACAUAAAAAUUUAUAAGGUAUAGCUAGAAAUUGAAUGGAGAUCAAUUAACCAGUGAAGGGUUACGCAGAGCUCAAUGGCGAUAAGCAUGCUUAACUGAAAGACUCAACAGUCGCACAGAUACGUAAGUAGGGCAUAGUGACCCCUCGCUAUAGUAUGGGAUAGACGGGGAUCAAUUAAUAAAAGUUACGCUAGGGAUAACAGGCUGAUAGCCGACGAGAGUACACAUUGUCUCGGCUGUUUGGCACCUCCAGGUACAAAUUAUAUUCCUAUAAAAAUCAAUCUUAAUUCUAUAAUUUCAUUAAAUAACAAGAUUAUUAUAAUAUUGAAAAUGAUAGAACUGAUAUUUUGGAUAUAUUUAACAUCGGGGAAUCUUAAUAGAAAUAUUAAUUUAGAAGUUGGCUAUAUGCUGGAACCUCCUUAUAGCUUUUAAGACUAGUUUUAUAACAGUGAAAAUUUGAAAGAUUGGACAAUCAGCAGGUAAGUUAUUUAUUUUAGGUUUAAGCAACUGUAGAAUUUAUAACCCCUCAACGACUACACGCCAAUAUCCAGAAGCUUUGUAAAUUGUAUUCUUACACUGGAUAAAGAUAUAGUCUAAACUUAAUUGAAAAUUUAAGAAUUUUUAUUUGCCUGAGUUAUUAAAGCAAAGGUAUUUAAAAAUUAAUGCGAUGUCGACUCAUCCUAUCCUCCGGGGGAAGAAGCUUGGAAGGGUUCGGCUGUUCGCCGAUUAAAAGGGUACGUGAGUUGGGUUUAAUACGACGUGAGUCAGUAUGGUCCCUAUCUUCUGGAGGGACAAUUAGUAAAAAGAGGCAGACCUUCCAGUACGAAAGGACCAAUAGGCUGUGUUUCUCUAGUGUACCAAUUGUUUGUAAAGAUUGUUAAGAGAAUCUGAGUAACUUGAAACGCGAAGUAUAGUAAAGUACAAAGAUACAGUACCUUUUAACCUUUUUUCUCCAAUCUUUAUUUCUUAAUUAAAAUUUAAGAAUUAAUAUGAAAAAAGUUCUCCCUUUUUAUAAAUUUUCUACUCUCUGCCUUUGCUUUACAAUUCUUCGAAGAAAAGCAAAGGAAAAGUAGUAAUUUUAUAAUUAGGACUCUUUAAAUUUAAAGAGAUAAAGGGCUACAAGAUAUGAACGCAUAGUUGGGUAGCCACAAACAUUUUAGAUAAGUGCUGAAUGUCUAUAAAGCAAGAAUCUAACCUCUAGAUACUAAUACGCUUAUUGAGAGAUAAAUUUAGUUCUCCCUCACUUUUACGUCCUAUGCUAUCCUACUAGGGAGUUGGAGAC